CAAUACGCGGAUACAGACUCCGAGAGCAGAAACGGAAACGUGAUCAUCACAUCGGAUCUCAAAUGUUAGAUGAGGACGGCGAGUGGUCGUAUCACAGAACAUUACCAUCGUUCAGAUCAUCUUCGGGAUUAAAGCAUCAUGGACGGGGAUAUAUAUCCAACCAAGGUCACGCAGAGGAUGGACUCUAUCCUUAUGCUUCUAAAUAUAUCAGUAGAGGAAGAAGCGGUGAACAGGAUCCCACUUUACCAUAUUCACUGUCCCAUAAAGUUAACCCUAUUUAUAACUGGUGAAACAUAGACAACCUUUUUAGUAUUUAUCGCUGUAAUGCUUAUAAUUUGCUAGAAUAAUGAAAAGUGAAAUCCGUGUUACUAUAAUAUUCGACAAAUGAAAACAAAAUCUUUUUUGCCGCUAAUUAAUCGACCAGCAACGAAGGCUGCAAUCAUCCGAUUUUCAUUGUUAUAAACAUUCUUUAUUGCGAGUGCAAUAUCAGUGGAAAUGAACGUAAUUUAACUUUGUUGUUAUAUGUUUCAACUUAUAAAUGUAAUUUAUGCACGUAAAAUGUUUUAUGGACGAAAUGGUUUCUAAGAUAUUAUAAUACAACAGCUGUUGUCAGUGACAUCUUUAACUGAUAUGCAGCGUGGUUUUCCUGCGCAUUUACGAUUCUUAGCGUCACAUAUUGUACAUAAAGGAAAUCAUAUAUUUUGUCAGCUUGAAUUUCACGAUCGUAGCAUUGCGUUUACAUCAAAAACAAUUUCAUCAUAUUGCAAAGAUUUGUGUUGUUUAAUAUUUAGCUUGAUAAAUUAAAAGUGUUAAAGUUAACGUGUUUACGGAUUUCGACGAUUUUGGGAUCACAAAUAUUUUUCUUUGUUGGGCUGAACAGUGAACCACUUGGGUGGGGGACUUGAUUGACUGCUUCAGCUGAGAAUGUUUCAUACUUUCAAAGUUUGUGUUUACGCUCACCAUUUAAUAUAUAAAGCAGAUAAGUAUUUUCGUUAAGCUAAUAUUUCAAAGUUUAUGUUGACCCUCACUGUUGAAAAUAUAAAGCAGGUAUUUUCGUUUUGCUUGUCAUUAAAUCUAAUGUUGUUCUAAACUGUCUGGAAAAUAAUUUAAGCUUAAAUUCAUGAGUUUGCCGAAAAGUACCCGAGAGACUGCCUUACUUUUUAAUUUCAAGGCUUGUGUCUGAGUUAUUCCGAACAAGUAUCCGAGGUUUUGCGGUUUGUUUUACUUGUCUCAAUCAUAGGAGCUACGUCUAGCAUCUUUGCUUCAUAUUAUUCAUUCAGUUUUCAACAUGUCAUUUGCAGACAAGUUUUUUUCCGGACUAAUUUUAUUAUAUUCAUUCAAUUUGUGUUUUAUUUCUGUUUAAAAUAAAUACAGCUAUUGAAAUAUACAUUUUGAAAAUCAAAACAAUGCUCUUACACUGACAAAGCGCUAAUCAAGUUUACUAAACAAAAAAAGUUAUACAUUGGCAUCAGUGAUCAUGAAUUAUAUGUUAAACGAUUGUUGAACGAAAAUGAGUUUAUGAAGAGUUGUAUGAAUUAGUAUAUUCUGUCUUAUUCCAUGUUUCCCUUUUGUUGACUUAUUAACAUACUUACAUGUACAUGUUUCUAAAACAUUUCUCUUUUUUUGUUGUGUUUCUCAAUAUCUUAGUUUCAAACGUAUUGUAUUUUGUUUAUGUUUACAGUAUGUAAGGAGCAAUAAAAAUGUAGCAAACAUCAUAUAUGUACACUUAGUUUUGUUUCAUGAGUGAGUUCAUAAACAUUUAUGCUUUGUUUUAGUGUCGAUACCUGCAUAGCCUUAUUGUGUUUUGUUUUGUUAUGUACUUUCAGAAUUCAUGGGAGCACUUCUAGUUCUGUUAUAAAUGUCUUAAUCGCAAUAUCCAUUUAACCAUAUCUUAAUUAUUGUGUGUAUUCUUAAGAGGUCGUAUAAACGCGUCUCCCAUCUAUAUCUAACAUUUCUAUAGAAAAUAAUUCCAAUUUGAAAUCAAACGCCUCCAUCUGCAACUAAAAUGGCAAAAGGGUGCCAUGUUCUUUUAUCAUAAUCACAAAAAAUGUUACUAAACAUUGAUAUGCAGCGACAUCAGCGGUCACAAUCUAUGAUAUGAAUUUUAUAAUAAACGAUUUGUAAAAUAGAAAUGGUAACAUUCAAAGAUUUUGUCAGUGAACAUCAGUCAUAUUUUAUGUUGAAUUCGUAUAUGUUGUCCAGUUUCAUCAUAUUUCCGUACUGUUGAUUUAAGAAUAAAUUAAAAUACUUCUAAGCAUAGUCAUAGAAUAGUUUGUUUUUAUUUGUUGUUAGUCAUUUUACCUUAGUAAUCACCCAAAUGCUUCAUAUUUUUUAAUGUGUACAAAUCUUAAAAGCAAUUUAAUGAUAUAAAUAUAGCAUAUAAGCCAUAUAAGGGCAACAAGUUUUGUUUUCUGACAGUGUACAUGAACAGUC